AUUGAACGCUGGCGGCAGGCCUAACACAUGCAAGUCGAACGGUAGCACAGAGGAGCUUGCUCCUUGGGUGACGAGUGGCGGACGGGUGAGUAAUGUCUGGGGAUCUGCCCGAUGGAGGGGGAUAACUACUGGAAACGGUAGCUAAUACCGCAUAACGUCGCAAGACCAAAGUGGGGGACCUUCGGGCCUCACACCAUCGGAUGAACCCAGAUGGGAUUAGCUAGUAGGUGGGGUAACGGCUCACCUAGGCGACGAUCCCUAGCUGGUCUGAGAGGAUGACCAGCCAAACUGGAACUGAGACACGGUCCAGACUCCUACGGGAGGCAGCAGUGGGGAAUAUUGCACAAUGGGCGCAAGCCUGAUGCAGCCAUGCCGCGUGUAUGAAGAAGGCCUCCGGGUUGUAAAGUACUUUCAGCGGGGAGGAAGGCGAUAAGGCUAAUAACCGCGUCGAUUGACGUUACCCGCAGAAGAAGCACCGGCUAACUCCGUGCCAGCCGCCGCCGUAAAAC
rnacentral:rRNA from 1 species